AGCGAACGCUGGCGGCAGGCCUAACACAUGCAAGUCGAACGAACCUUUCGGGGUUAGUGGCGGACGGGUGAGUAACACGUGGGAACGUGCCUUUAGGUUCGGAAUAACUCAGGGAAACGUGUGCUAAUACCGAAUGUGCCCUUCGGGGGAAAGAUUUAUCGCCUUUAGAGCGGCCCGCGUCUGCUUAGCUAGUUGGUUGAGGUAAUGGCUCACCAAGGCGACGAUCAGUAGCUGGCCUGUGAGGAUGAGCAGCCACAUUGGGACGGGGACACGGCCCAAACUCCUACGCGAUGCAGCAGUGGGGAAUCUAGCGAAAUGGGCGAAAGCCUGACGCAGCCAUGCCGCGUGAAUGAUGAAGUUCUUAGGAAUGUAAAUUUCUUUCACCGGGGACGAUAAUGACGGUACCCGGAGAAGAAGCCCCGGCUAACUUCGUG
rnacentral:rRNA from 1 species